rnacentral:rRNA from 1 species
AGUCGAACGGCAGCACGGACUUCGGUCUGGUGGCGAGUGGCGAACGGGUGAGUAAUGUAUCCGGAACGUGCCUGAAGUAGCGGGGGAUAACUACGCGAAAGCGUAGCUAAUACCGCAUACGCCCUUCGGGGGAAAGCGAGGGACCUUCGGGCCUCGCACUAUUAGAGCGGCCGAUAUCGGAUUAGCUAGUUGGUGGGGUAACGGCUCACCAAGGCGACGAUCCGUAGCUGGUUUGAGAGGACGACCAGCCACACUGGGACUGAGACACGGCCCCAGACUCCUACAGGAGGCAGCAGUGGGGAAUUUUGGACAAUGGGGAAACCCUGAUCCAGCCAUCCCGCGUGUGCGAUAGAGGCCUUCGGGUUGUAAAGCACUUUUGGCAGGAAAGAAACGGCACGGGAUAAUACCCCGUGCAACUGACGUUACCUGCAGAAUAAGCACCGGCUAACUACGUGCCAGCAGCCGCGGUAAUACGUAGGGUGCAAGCGUUAAUCGGAAUUACUGGGCGUAAAGCGUGCGCGAGCGGUUCGGAAGAAAGAUGUGAAAUCCCAGAGCUUAACUUUGGAACUGCAUUUUUAACUACCGAGCUAGAGUGUGUCAGAGGGAGGUGGAAUUCCGCGUGUAGCAGUGAAAUGCGUAGAUAUGCGGAGGAACACCGAUGGCGAAGGCAGCCUCCUGGGAUAACACUGACGCUCAUGCACGAAAGCGUGGGGAGCAAACAGGAUUAGAUACCCUGGUAGUUCACGCCCUAAGCUUGAUGUCAACUAGCUGUUGGGGCCUUCGGGCCUUGGUAGCGCAGCUAACGCGUGAAGUUGACCGCCUGGGAGUACGGUCGCAAGAUUAAAACUCAAAGGAAUUGACGGGGACCCGCACAAGCGGUGGAUGAUGUGGAUUAAUUCGAUGCAACGCGAAAAACCUUACCUACCCUUGACAUGUCUGGAAUCCCGAAGAGAUUUGGGAGUGCUCGCAAGAGAACGGAACACAGGUGCUGCAUGGCUGUCGUCAGCUCGUGUCGUGAGAUGUUGGGUUAAGUCCCGCAACGAGCGCAACCCUUGUCAUUAGUUGCUACGAAGGGCACUCUAAUGAGACUGCCGGUGACAAACCCGGAGGGAAGGUGGGGAUGACGUCAAGUCCUCAUGGCCCUUAUGGUGGGAAGCUACGCGUCAUACAAUGGUCGGGACAGAGGGUCGCCAACCCGCGAGGGGGAACAAUCCCAGAAACCCGAUCGUAGUCGGAUCGCAGUCUGCAACUCGACUCGCGUGAAGUCGGAAUCGCUAGUAAUCGCGGAUCAGCGUAUCGCGGUGAAUACGUUCCCGGGUCUUGUACACACCGCCCGUCACACCAUGGGAGUGGGUUUUACCAGAAGUAGUUAGCCUAACCGUAAGGAGGGCGAUUACCACGGUAGGAUUCAUGACUGGGGGUGAAGUCGUAACAAGGUAG